CACGCUGUAAACGAUGUCGACUAGCUGUUGCGAACCUUAAGGGGUUUGUAGUGGCGCAGCAAACGCGAUAAGUCGACCGCCUGGGNCAACGCGAAGAACCUUACCUACCCUUGACGAACACCGAAGGCUAUAGAGAUAUGGCUGUGCCGAAAGGAACGGUGUAACAGGUGC
rnacentral:rRNA from 1 species